UGCCGAGUAGCCAAGCGGAAAGGCAACAGAUUUUGAUUCUGUGAAUCGUAUGUUCAAAUCAUACCUCGGUAG
rnacentral:tRNA from 1 species